GUGCGGGUCCCGUCGGCCCCGGCCCCGUCGGUCCCGGCCCCGGCCCCGGCCGCGCCCGCCAUGCCAUGUCCGCGCUCAGCUGGAAACCCUUCGUCUACGGCGGGCUCGCCUCCAUCGUGGCCGAGUUCGGCACCUUCCCGGUGGAUCUCACCAAGACGCGGCUGCAGGUGCAGGGCCAGAGCGCCGACGCGCGCUUCCGCGAGGUGCGGUACCGCGGCAUGUUCCACGCGCUGUUCCGCAUCUGCCGCGAGGAGGGCGGCCGGGCCCUGUACUCGGGGAUCGCCCCGGCGCUGCUGCGACAGGCGUCCUACGGCACCAUAAAGAUCGGCAUUUACCAGAGCCUGAAGCGGCUGUUCGUGGAUCGGAUGGAAGGCCUGGGGCAGCCAGUGGCCUGGUCUCCUCUGGGAGCUGCUGUGGUGGCCACGUGGCUACCUGGGGCUCCAGAUCCGAGGAGCAUUGGGUUGUCCUUCUCCGACUCCCUCUGUCUUGGCCUCGUCUCCAUCAUGGGAAAUGGAUCACUGGCCACUGAGAUCUCAGCUCGUUGCUGCUCGUUUUCAUGGGUCACUGCCUUCUCCUUGCCUACUCGACGAGACGUUGCUCAUCAACGUGAUCUGUGGGGUGGUGUCGGGCGUGAUCUCCUCGGCCAUUGCCAACCCCACAGAUGUGCUGAAGAUUCGAAUGCAAGCCCAAGGCAGUUUAUUCCAGGGUGGCAUGAUUGGCAGCUUCAUCGACAUCUACCAGCAGGAGGGGACCCGGGGGCUCUGGAGGGGGGUUGUCCCAACGGCUCAAAGAGCUGCCAUCGUGGUGGGGGUGGAACUGCCCGUCUACGACAUCACCAAGAAGCACUUAAUAGUGUCAGGCCUGAUGGGGGACACCAUCUUUGCCCAUUUUGUGUGAGUAUUUGCUGUGGCUGCCGGGCUCUCCGGGCUCGGCAGGGCCUGAGGUGGGAUUUGGGGUUCGCUCUGGAGCUGCACAGAAGGGGAAGGUGGCUGUGAGGGCCCUGCUCUGCCCUCUGGAGCAGCUCAGGAUGACCAAUGAGUAUCCCCAGGGAGAGCUCCCUGGAGCAGGAGCCUGGCAGGAAUCCUUCAGCGGCAGCCUGAUCCCAGCUGGCCGAUGAGCAGAGAUGCUGCUGCCUCGUGUCUGUGCUCUGCUCUGUCUGUGCCAGGCAGGACUUGCAGGCGUGUGGUGACCUGUCAGAUGAAGGAGCUGCUCCAGCCCAUGGUCUGUGCAGGCACUGUCAGCUUUGCAGCCCUUGUGAGAUGAACAGAGUCUGUGAGAUGAACAGAGACUUGCAAAGCUGUCAAGGCCCUCAGCAACCUGACUGAGACACUUUAGCUGGAGGUGCUGCAGUGCUCCUGUUGGCUUUGCCUGCUGUGGGCUGAAGGUGACGAGCACUAGACCAUACAUGGAGGGAGGCGGCUAGCAGCUGCAGGCUCCCUGCUGCUCUGCUGCCUUUGGUCUGCCUCCCUCCUUCCCCACCCCAAAGAGGUGUGUGCUCUGGUGAGGAGGAUGUGUGCUUCCAGGAGGCUGCCCUCAGGUCUGUGUCGCUUUGACAGCACCCUCAGAGCCUGGCUGCAGGAUGUUCCCAAGGAGACCUCGGUCAGACAGCACUGAGCAUUUCCCUUCCCCUGCCUCCGGGGUGCUGAGGUGCUCUGGCCCCUGCCCCUGGUUUUGGGCUGGGAGCAGGUCCUACAGCCUGCCAUUCAUUCAGUCCAGCAGAGGAGAUUCUCAGGUGCUGAUGUCAAGGGCUGCCUGAGGCCGUGCUCAGAGCUGUUGCUCUCCUGUUUUGCUGUGUCUGUAGCUCCAGCUUCACGUGUGGGCUGGCUGGGGCGCUGGCCUCCAACCCCGUGGACGUGGUGCGCACGCGGAUGAUGAACCAGCGGGCGAUCGUGGG